UUAAGUUCAGCGCGUAUUCCUACCUGAUCUGAGGUCAAUAAAUGAAGAUGAGCCAAGAGCACGAGGCACGAGGCGGGCUUAAGGUGCAGCACCAGAAGUGCACCGGCAAUGCAACGAGUUGGACGAACCUAGAACGUUGUGUAACCGGGCGGCAGGCCGCACCAAUGCAUUUGAGGAGAGCGUCCCACGAGGGGUCGCAG
rnacentral:misc_RNA from 1 species